CGGAGUCCGCCUCGCGGUCCAGCGUCGUGGAUCCGAGUCGUGGAUCGGAGCCGGGGUCCGGA
rnacentral:pre_miRNA from 1 species